rnacentral:lncRNA from 1 species
AAAUUACUAAAUAAAUUUCUCAAUAGAGUUCGAAAGAUUUGAUAAAGAUACAUAAUAAGUAGGGUUAAUUUCACACAGUUCUUCACAAACAUAGUGAAUUGCAAAUAUAUUCCUACAAAGUUCAACUUUUAUAUGUUGUCUCUGCAAAAGUUCUGAUGUUUUCAAAUAUGUCCUUGUCAUUAGGAUCCUUAGAAAAAAUAAGUUAACCAUAGAUAAAAUAUUUAACAUUAGUUAGUUAAUGAGGUGAAUUGACCUUUUUACCCCUCUUCAAUUAAUAGUUGAGACUUUUGGAGGGACAUAUUUGUUAGGGUAAAAAGGUUAUUUCACUUAUAAAAUAAACAGUGCUUUAACGGUAACAAACCAGAUAGACAUAUUUGAAAAUAUUAGGACUUUUAUAAGAACAAUAUAUAAAAGUUGAACUUUGUAGGGAUACAUUUACAAUUAACUAUAUUUGCAGGGACCAAUAUGAAAUUAAUCCUAAUAAGUAAUUAGAAUAUUUUGUUAGUAAAGAAAAUAAAUAUUUUACAUUAUUAUAUAUGUUGGUUCACAUAUAUUUAUUAUGAUCGGCACGCACCACAUCGUAUCGUGUCGGUAAAUUUUUUGCAUAACUCCGUAUCGCGAUAUUUAAAUUCUUGAUUUUGAAUAUCUCAUUUUACUUAUAAACUAAAAUUGGAAUGUGAAUCCAACAGAAAAAAAUAACUAUAGUUGGGUUAUAAAAUGUGGCCAAACACACCCUAAAACGAGAACUAUUUACCUAUCUAGCUUCUUUACAAAAAAAUAUUCCCUAUCUAGCCUCCUUUUGAAAAAAAUUCCCUAUCUAGCCUCAUCUUCAAAGAUUAGAGAAAAAAAGAGAAAUUAAUUCCUUUAAUAUAUAUUAAGGGGUUAAGUGGGGGAAAUUAUCUUUUUCUCUCUCCUCUCCCAUUAAUUUUUAUAUCAAAAUAAUCUUGAUCCCAUUCGGCCUAUAAAUUUUAUGUUUUAAUGUAUUAAAACCUAAAGUACGAGAAAUCCAAAUAGUUUUGGAUCAGGAUUAUUAUAAUCAAUUCCUUCCGAACCAUGUAUAAUAUUUUCAUCAAAAUAUUAAAAGAUUGAUGCGCUAUAUAAAAAUUUUCUAUUUUGAAAUAAAUCGAUAUGAGAUAAAUUAUACGCAAAAAUUAGAGAGUGAGAAGGAAUCUCGGGACAUAGGAGAGGAAAGAGAAAAAGAUAAUCUCCCCCACUUAACCCCUUAAUAUAUAUUAAAAGUAUUAAUUUUUCUUUUUUUCUCUAAUUUUUGAAAAUGAGGCUAGAUGGGAAAUAUUUUUCAAAAGAAGGCUAGAUAGGAAAUAUUUUUUUGUAAAGAGACUAGAUAGGUAAAUAGUUCCUAAAACG